UGUGUACUCCCUCCGUUCCAAAAUACUUGACUUCCAUUUGUCCAAAAAUGGAUGUACCUAUAUACUAAGACAUGUCUAGANACCUAUAUACUAAGACAUGUCUAGAUACAUAUAUAUUUUGACAAAUAGAAGGCAUGUAUUGUGCAACGGAGGGAGUAGAAU
rnacentral:pre_miRNA from 1 species